ACUUUAAUGGAUGUUAUCUUGCAGAUAAUUUUAAUGCCAUUCCAUUCUUCAAAAUUCUGUCAUAAUCCUUUGACAACAGUUGAAGAUACUUAUCUUUUUAAAUUGCCAGCAUUAAGAUAUUUAGACCUGGGAAAAACACACAUCUCACAACAAUUGAAAGAAUCCCCAUGAUGGCCCUUGAAUUGGAAAAACUGAUCUUACCUAGCCAUAGGACCUGCUGCCUCUGCCAAUUUAAAAAUACUAUUGAAGUUGUCUGCAAGACAG